GGGACACGUGGUAUCCUGUCUGAAUAUGGGGGGACCAUCCUCCAAGGCUAAAUACUCCUGACUGACCGAUAGUGAACCAGUACCGUGAGGGAAAGGCGAAAAGAACCCCGGCGAGGGGAGUGAAAAAGAACCUGAAACCGUGUACGUACAAGCAGUGGGAGCACGCUUAGGCGUGUGACUGCGUACCUUUUGUAUAAUGGGUCAGCGACUUAUAUUCUGUAGCAAGGUUAACCGAAUAGGGGAGCCGAAGGGAAACCGAGUCUUAACUGGGCGUUAAGUUGCAGGGUAUAGACCCGAAACCCGGUGAUCUAGCCAUGGGCAGGUUGAAGGUUGGGUAACACUAACUGGAGGACCGAACCGACUAAUGUUGAAAAAUUAGCGGAUGACUUGUGGCUGGGGGUGAAAGGCCAAUCAAACCGGGAGAUAGCUGGUUCUCCCCGAAAGCUAUUUAGGUAGCGCCUCGUGAACUCAUCUCCGGGGGUAGAGCACUGUUUCGGCAAGGGGGUCAUCCCGACUUACCAACCCGAUGCAAACUGCGAAUACCGGAGAAUGUUAUCACGGGAGACACACGGCGGGUGCUAACGUCCGUCGUGAAGAGGGAAACAACCCAGACCGCCAGCUAAGGUCCCAAAGUCAUGGUUAAGUGGGAAACGAUGUGGGAAGGCCCAGACAGCCAGGAUGUUGGCUUAGAAGCAGCCAUCAUUUAAAGAAAGCGUAAUAGCUCACUGGUCGAGUCGGCCUGCGCGGAAGAUGUAACGGGGCUAAACCAUGCACCGAAGCUGCGGCAGCGACGCUUAUGCGUUGUUGGGUAGGGGAGCGUUCUGUAAGCCUGUGAAGGUGUACUGUGAGGUAUGCUGGAGGUAUCAGAAGUGCGAAUGCUGACAUAAGUAACGAUAAAGCGGGUGAAAAGCCCGCUCGCCGGAAGACCAAGGGUUCCUGUCCAACGUUAAUCGGGGCAGGGUGAGUCGACCCCUAAGGCGAGGCCGAAAGGCGUAGUCGAUGGGAAACAGGUUAAUAUUCCUGUACUUGGUGUUACUGCGAAGGGGGGACGGAGAAGGCUAUGUUGGCCGGGCGACGGUUGUCCCGGUUUAAGCGUGUAGGCUGGUUUUCCAGGCAAAUCCGGAAAAUCAAGGCUGAGGCGUGAUGACGAGGCACUACGGUGCUGAAGCAACAAAUGCCCUGCUUCCAGGAAAAGCCUCUAAGCAUCAGGUAACAUCAAAUCGUACCCCAAACCGACACAGGUGGUCAGGUAGAGAAUACCAAGGCGCUUGAGAGAACUCGGGUGAAGGAACUAGGCAAAAUGGUGCCGUAACUUCGGGAGAAGGCACGCUGAUAUGUAGGUGAAGUCCCUCGCGGAUGGAGCUGAAAUCAGUCGAAGAUACCAGCUGGCUGCAACUGUUUAUUAAAAACACAGCACUGUGCAAACACGAAAGUGGACGUAUACGGUGUGACGCCUGCCCGGUGC
rnacentral:rRNA from 1 species